AAGGCGUCAGCAGCAGCGGCAGGGCAGCAGCAGCUUGCCAAGAUGGAUCCUCCUUCAUUUGAUCUGGGAUUGUCCCAGAAUGCCGCUGAUCUUGUUGAGAACGCAGCUCCUUUCUUGAAUUCGGUUCUCUAGUUUUUAUGUAUUCUUGUUUACUCACUUGCAAUCGUUUGAGUUUGAUAGGUUUGUCCUGGGAGGAAUCGCAGUGGGCGUGGUGGGCGUGGUCGGCGUGGUCGGAGAGAGGUUGGCCGCCAACCUUUUCGACCAAUUGUUCCGAAUGAGGAGGACGAGAAUCCAUUGAAACUGGUUAUACCAGCAGGGACCCGAAAGAAGAAUGAGUAGGCAACAUUGAAGUUUUAUGCAUGGCACGAGGCACAGGGCCCAGAAUUGUCCUUACAAGAUCUGAGACUGAUUGAGGAACUUCCUGCAAAGGAGCUUUCCCACCAGCUUGCAUUGUUCUACAAGCAUGUUUUGAGAGACGAUGGGAAGCCUUACCCUCCAACAACUCUAAGGGAUAUGUUUUUUUGCUUUAACCGAGUAUUGAA